CGUCCAGGAUCAGGGGUACUCCGGGGAGGCAGAUCGGGGGCUCGUCCGGGCACUGGCAUCUCUGCGUACACGCUUGGGACCAGGCUAACGGCCGAGGAGGGGAGGACUUUAUAUAGAGGAGCUAUCCCAUGGCCACCAUGACGACCAAUCGCAAAGAAUGUGUGCCAGAACACCCAAAGUGUUUGAGGAGGGACUUUUUUUUCUUUUUUAUUUGGACAUUCUGCCAAGAGAUUCCUCACAGGUCCACUUACACCCUAAAAUCCAAACAAGUGCGGAAGACUGUUUUAGUGUAUUGCAUUAAAUUGAAAACUGAACACUGUAAUAGCUGACGAGCAGUUAAAACAUGCUAGCUAAAAAUACAGCGACACAGACACAGUGAUUUAAACUGGGAAAAAGAAAAUCCAUGUAUUUUCUACUGUAUGCCCUCGACAACACAUUGUGUUGUACUAGUUUAAACAUAUAUUAACAAUAAUUCUAAAUGUUAAUUGUGCGCUUUAAACUUUUAUUUCACUGGAACUAUAUUAAUUAAAUCUACAUAUUAAUUCCCAUCUCCCUCACAGUUUUCUCUGUGCUUUUAUUUGUUUUCUCUUGUUCCACCAGUUUCAUU